AUUGAACGCUGGCGGCAGGCCUAACACAUGCAAGUCGAACGAGUGGCGGACGGGUGAGUAAUGUCUGGGAAACUGCCUGAUGGAGGGGGAAAACUACUGGAAAAGGUAUCUAAUACCGCAUACCAUCGGAUGUGCCCAUAUGGUAUUCGCUAGUAGGUGGGGUAAAGGCUCACCUAGGCGACGAUCCCUAGCUGGUCUGAGAGGAUGACCAGCCACACGGGAACUGAGACACGGUCCAGACGCCUACGGGAGGCAGCAGUGGGGAAUAUUGCACAAUGGGCGCAAGCCUGAUGCAGCCAUGCCGCGUGUAUGAAGAAGGCCUUCGGGUUGUAAAGUACUUUCAGCGGGGAGGCGUUACCCGCAGAAGAAGCACCGGCUAACUCCGGGCCAGCAGCCGCGGUAAUUC
rnacentral:rRNA from 1 species